GAGUUUGAUUAUGGCUCAGAAUGAACGCUGGCGGCGUGCCUAACACAUGCAAGUCGAACGAGAAAGUUCCUUCGGGGAUGAGUAUAGUGGCGCACGGGUGAGUAACGCGUGGGUGAUCUGUCCGGAAGUUUGGGAUAACCGGGCGAAAGUCUGGCUAAUACCGAAUUGUCGAAGUAUUUUUGAUGAUGCUUUGUAAAGGGUGCCUCUGAUUCAAGCAUCUGCUUUCGGGUGAGCCCGCGUAUCAUUAGCUAGUUGGUGGGGUAAAGGCUUACCAAGGCAACGAUGAUUAGCUGGUCUGAGAGGAUGAUCAGCCACACUGGAACUGGAACACGGUCCAGACUCCUACGGGAGGCAGCAGUGGGGAAUAUUGCGCAAUGGGCGAAAGCCUGACGCAGCAACGCCGCGUGGGGGAAGAAGGUUUUCGGAUUGUAAACCCCUGUCAGGAGGGAAGAAGUGUUUUAUGGUUAACAGCCAUGGGAUUGACGUACUCCANGAGCCCCC
rnacentral:rRNA from 1 species